rnacentral:rRNA from 1 species
UACGGGGGGGGCAAGCGUUGUUCGGAAUUACUGGGCGUAAAGGGCUCGUAGGCGGCCAACUAAGUCGGAUGUGAAAUCCCCAAGCUUAACUUGGGAACUGCAUCCGAUACUGGAUGGCUUGAAUCCGGGAGAGGGAUGCAGAAUUCCAGGUGUAGCGGUGAAAUGCGUAGAUAUCUGGAGGAAUACCGGUGGCGAAGGCGGCAUCCUGGACCGGCAUUGACGCUGAGGAGCGAAAGUGUGGGGAGCGAACAGG